CGUUCAGUCUCGAAGAAUUUGCCCUAACAUUAUUUCAUAAACGAAGCAUUUCCCCCUUAAGCCUCUUUGACUAUCACUGCGCACACCGCACAAGACAACUUUCCUAAGGUAUUGAGAAACGAAGCACGCUCACGCUAUUUCCUAAGCUAUUGAGAAACGAAGCACGAUCACGCUUUCCUUUCGCUCUCCGUGCGACGUCGUUUCGCCAACAAACAACGGCACCGACACUCCUUUCUUCUUCUCUGCAUUUCUACGAUUCGGCAGGGAAUUGAGCUGGUCUUGGGAAGCACUUCUGCAACCCAUGUAUGCGAAUGGAACAUGAGAAUUGUUGCAGUGAAACAUGCACGUGAAGUAGGUUGGAAUAGUCUUUGGCUGGAAUGUGACUCUAUGUUGAUUUUGGUUGCUUAAGAGAAUCCAUCCUUGGUGUCUUGGAUCAUUAAAGUGUUUGUCUCGUGGGAUACUUCACCAGCUUUUGGAGGCAUCAGGAUUCUCAGCAGACCAAGAAUUCCAGUACCCUUCCCUGAUCCCUCUGGAGAUUACAUUGUUCUCAUUGGAGAUUGGUACAAAUCCAACCAC